AGAGUUUGAUCAUGGCUCAGAUUGAACGCUGGCGGCAUGCCUAACACAUGCAAGUCGAACGAGGGUAGCAAUACCCUAGUGGCGGACGGGUGAGGAAUACGUAGGAAUUUGCCCUUAAGUGGGGGAUAGCCCGGGGAAACCCGGAUUAAUACCGCAUGAUCUCGAAAGAGCAAAGUGGGGGAUCGCAAGACCUCACGCUUUUGGAGAAGCCUACGUCGGAUUAGCUAGUUGGUGGGGUAAUGGCCCACCAAGGCGACGAUCCGUAACUGGUCUGAGAGGAUGAUCAGUCACACCGGAACUGAGACACGGUCCGGACUCCUACGGGAGGCAGCAGUGGGGAAUAUUGGACAAUGGGCGAAAGCCUGAUCCAGCAAUGCCGCGUGUGUGAAGAAGGCCUUCGGGUUGUAAAGCACUUUAAGUUGGGAAGAAAAAACUCGCUCUAACACAGUGAGUCUUGACGGUACCGACAGAAUAAGCACCGGCUAACUCUGUGCCAGCAGCCGCGGUAAUACAGAGGGUGCAAGCGUUAAUCGGAUUUACUGGGCGUAAAGCGUGCGUAGGCGGUUUGUUAAGUCGGUUGUGAAAGCCCUGGGCUUAACCUGGGAAUUGCAGUCGAUACUGGCAGGCUAGAGAACGGUAGAGGGAGGCGGAACUCCAGGUGUAGCGGUGAAAUGCGUAGAUAUCUGGAAGAACACCGAUGGCGAAGGCAACCUCCUGGGCCUGUUCUGACGCUGAGGCACGAAAGCGUGGGUAGCAAACAGGAUUAGAUACCCUGGUAGUCCACGCUGUAAACGAUGAGAACUUGACGUCGGGUCGCUUAGCGAUUCGGUGUCGAAGCUAACGCGCUAAGUUCUCCGCCUGGGGAGUACGGCCGCAAGGUUGAAACUCAAAGGAAUUGACGGGGGCCCGCACAAGCGGUGGAGUAUGUGGUUUAAUUCGAUGCAACGCGAAGAACCUUACCUGGGCUU
rnacentral:rRNA from 1 species